rnacentral:misc_RNA from 1 species
GUAGGUGAACCUGCGGAAGGAUCAUUAUUAAAAAUUAAUUUUUAUCAAAUCAUUGUCUAAAUAAUAAUUAAAAUAAAUAUAAUAAUAAAACUUUCAACAACGGUUCUCUUGGCUCUC